GUCUCCACUUGCCAGCUCCUGCUGGAGGUAUUCCUGCACUCCUAGGCAGGCCUUCAGAGACAAAGUUGCUGCCGGCAAACAGCACCUCACGCUAAACCUAAACCGUCUGCAUUCACCCUGCCCCCUUAAUUACUUCUGCAUGACUCCAUAGUAGGACGGGUCAUUUUCCAGCCCUUCCCAUUACCCUUCCCAUUACCUUUCCAAUGGGCACCACCCCACAACCCCGAGAGCAAAUCGCCAACACCCGCCCGCCGCCUGAGCGUCCCGUUGCCGUGGUGACGAGCUCAGCGCUUGGAAGCUCUCCCUUCGUUCCCGGCGAGUGCCCGACAGCGGUUAGUGGCUGAGGGGGUUUCAAGGCGGAGGGGUUGUCCGUCUUCCUCCGUGGUCAGUAGGAGAGCAGAUACAACGCUAUGGAAAGUAGAGUGACAGAAGAUACUGAAGGAAUUGAAAAAGAAAUAGAAAGUGAAUUAAGUAGAAUCAGUGUUUCUUCCUUCGAAGCAGAUGAUCCUGACACAGAUGUAUCAGAGGAAUCUGUGAGUGACACCGAGUCAAUUUCAGAUGAUCUGCCAGAUUCAGUUCUGUCCUAUUUAAAUUUUAUAAAGAGCAGGAAUCAAGAUGCUGAAAAGGUUAUACUGCAAGACUCUGAAGAUGAAGAAACUACAAGUAAUAUUCAUGAAGUAAUUCCGUGCUAUGCUUCAGAUAAAUUGGCAGAAUUGGCUUCUGAGAGUAAUGAAGAUUCAGAACAAUUUAAAAAAAGGGUACUAUUUGAAAUUGAAACUGCGGACUUGAAAGUUCCUACAACUCCUAGUUAUAAUAAUCAGUCCUGCAGUGAAGUAGUCACCGAUGACUUCUUUCUUACAGCUGAUGUUGAAAUGAACAUAAGCCUUACUUAUCAUGAAGUAGAAGAAAAAUGUAGACAAAAAUUUGAGCAGUGGGAAAAAACACAAAGUGAGAUUGAAGAUGACAAGAGGAAAAAGUGGAAAGCUGAGAGAGAAGCACAGGAAAAACAGAAUGAAGAAGAACAUGCCAGAAGGGUGCAACAUCUGGAGAAAUUUGAGGCUGAAAGAAUGGAGUUGGAGCUUCUUCACAAGGAACAACAAACUCUGAUGGAAGACGAGUUACAGAAGAAAAAGAAAGCUUGGAGGGACAAAAUGAUACAACAUGAGGAAAUAAUCACGAAGCUACAGCUGCAAAUGGAACAGGAGAAAAGGGCAUUUGAAGAACAGAAAGCAAAUGAAAGUAAACACCUGAUGGAACAACGGAAUACAGCAGCUGUGAAAAUCCAAUCUAGAUUUAGAGCCUACUUAGUCCAUAAGAAGUAUGCUCCCAUCUUAAAACAGUGGAAAGAUGAAAUAAAAAAGAAAAAGAAAAUACAAGAAGAAAUUGAGAGAGAAAUGAAAGUAAAAGAGGAAAAAAUGAGGAGGCGAAUGGAAGAAAGGAUGCAAAAUAAAAAAGAAGAGAAAAAGAGACAAGAAGAGCUAGAAAGACAAAAGUAUUUGGAACAGGCAGGGAGACGUAAGGAAUAUGAGGAAAAGAAAGCAAUCCUGAGACUUGAAAGAGAAAAACAGCUGCAAAUAAGGGAAGAACAGAAAAAAUUAAGAGUAAAAAUGGCUAAAGCUAUAAUAACUGAAAAUGGAGAAAAUAACAGAGAAAACAUAGAAGAAAAGAAAUUGGCAGAAAAUGUGAAUGUAAUAAGAGAUGAGGAAAAGGAACUGAAUGAGCAUUUUGAGGAACUAAAAGAAGAGCAGGCUGAAAGGAUGGGUGAAACAAACAGUGGUAUGAUUUCAAUGGAAAGAAAAUUGACACCAGCACUGACUUUGCUAACCUCUGAGAAGGAAGACUCUUCUCAAGUGAAUAAUGAAAACAUAUGUAUUAAUGUGGUAAAAUAUGUAGAAGAAAAUUACUUACAAACAAAAGAAGACAAUAAAGAAGCUUCAGGUAUCCACACUUUGAAGGAUGAAUCUGUUGAUUUUGGAGGAAAUUACGUGGUAGAAAGUACGUCAAAUGAUACAUGCAGCAGUCAAUCAAAUGUCCAGUCAAAUGCUACUAACACAGAUGACCAAGAUCAAUUUUCUCAGUCUGAAACAAUAAAGAAAACUGGAUUUCUAAUGGAAGAUGCUAAUGAGAAAGACAUAAAGAGCUGGGACACAGUUCAAGAGGUAUCUAAGUGUUCCAGUAGAUUAGUUCUUCCCAGUGAUAUUGAAAAAAAGAGAACAAAUUGGAUGAGCAAGUGUAAAUCUUGGUCUAAAAUAUAUGAAGAAAACCAAAGAAAGAUACCAAACAGCAAGAAACGAUCAAGAAAGACUUCAUUUAGCAAGAUGCCUCCAUUAAGUAGACAGAAGAUAAUUGAUAGUGGUUCCUGGAGUACUCUGCAGCAGAUCACAACACUUACACUUGAAGAUUUGCCAGCUUGUAGCCUCUCAACACUGUCAGAGUGUUUGAAUCUACAGGUUUUGACUCUGAGACGCUGUGGAUUAGUUGCACUAGAAGGGCUAAGUAGCUGCAAAGACCUGAAGUACAUCAAUGUGGAGGAAAACAACAUUCAGGUAAUUGACUGUGAAAAUCUGGAAAAUCUCUGUAUACUGAUUCUGAAUAACAACCACCUUUCUUCAGUUUGUGGCUUGGAUGGUUGCAUAAAUCUCCAGAGUCUUAAACUUUCUUACAAUAGAAUCACUCGAAUUGGUGGUUUGGAAUCACUGAAAAACCUUCAGCAAUUAACUGUGGAUCAUAAUCAGUUAAUUAGCACAAAAGGUCUUUGUGAAGUACCUACUCUCAUACAUCUGGACUGUUCUUUCAAUCAUCUCACACAAGUUGAAGGCAUUGAAAACUGUGGACUGCUUCAAAUUCUGAAGUUACAAGGCAAUAACCUCCAGGAGCUUCCAAAGCUGGAAAAUCAUGUUCUCCUAAGAGAGCUAUAUUUGGAUGACAAUAGCAUUUCUGCUGUGAGAAUGCUUUCUUUGUACUGGAUGCCCCUGCUGCAGAUUCUUCUGCUGUCUCAGAAUAGCUUAAGUGAGCUUGUACCUUUAAAUUCAUUUGUAUCUUUGGAAAAGCUGGAUAUCAAAAAUAACUGCUUAUCAGACCUUAAAAGUGUCAUUUCAUGCUUAAAUGGAUGCAGUAAUCUAAGGGAGUUGUCACUCAGUGGAAAUCCUCUUCUUCAAGAAAGGAACUGGAGGCCUUCACUAUGUAAGGUCCUUCCAAGGUUACAGUUUCUUGAUGGUGAAAACUUGCAUUAUAAUACUUUACCCACAGCUGAAGGAAUCAAAGCAUCAGAAUCAACAGCUUUUCUGGAAUUUUGUAAAGUUCAAAUUGAAGAAAAUGUUUUACUGAAAAAAAAGGUUGUUGAAGAGGGAAUUGUUUCUUCCAUUGAUGCUGUGCAGAGGCAAUGCUGGUAUUUUAAUCAGUUGAUGAAACUUAGCAUUGACCAUCGAUGUGCACAUGAGUAUGGUGAACUAAGCACUACUGACAGAGGUAGACCAGAAGCACUGCAAAAUCAUUUAAAGCAAGCAUCCACUGGCUGCGUACAGGAAAAUAACCUCUUUAUCAUGGGUGUGACAGAAAAUAAACAGGUCUUGUUGGAUCCUUCUGAAAGAUGGAUUACUGAUGGCCAUUUUCAGGCCACAUUCAUUAACUCCUCCAUAUCUGUGCACCAAAAGGAAAAUAAAGAAGAUCACAGAAUGAAGCAGAAGAGCACUGAAUCUUGUAUUAAUUACAAUGGGGAGAGCAAUGGCAACAAGAACAUAUCUGCUCAGCUCACAUUGCAACAUUCAGUUAUAGAAAGUAAUAUGGGAAGAGGUUUUGAGAAUAAUACAGAAAGGUCACAUUUGGCAGCAUCAGUGAUCCAGUCUCAUUGGAGGAAGUACCGUACCAGGAGGAAGACUGACUGCGCCAAAACAAGAAAUUGUCAUUUUGGAGAGGCUUCAAGACAGAAACAUGAAGCUGCCACAGUAAUCCAGGCAUCUUGGAAGGGCUUUCUUUUGCGAAGGAAACUGGCCAGUGUGCUUGCAGCUGUUAAAAGUGAUGAAGUGGAUGAUAACUAUGAAGAAAUAAAUGUGGAUGAUUUCAUAUCUCAUGAAGCUGCAAUAGGGAAUGAAUGGCUAACUCCAGAUUCCACCCAUUUCCUUUCAAAAACACUCCUAAUCUCGAACCAGCUGCACUGGACAAAGUAUGCUAGGCCUUCAGAUUCCAGUGAACAUUCAGGUGAUUUGCAGUUGUCACCACAAGCACCUUGGCAGCGUAUUGAUAGACCAAAUUCAUACUCAACAGAAAAUACCCACUAUCAUAGAAGUUCAGAGAAGGGAACAAUGUCACAGAACUCCGACAUAAAAGAAAAAAAGAAAUUUUCAAUCAGGUCUGAUAAAGAAGAGAAAAUUUCAGAAGAAUGGGGUUUUAAAGACAUUUCUACUGCACAGCUAAUGCUGAAGAGGGCCCAUAAAAUGAAGCCCAGAAAAUACAGUAAUAAAAAUGUAGACCCAGCUGUGCGCCUGGCGUUGUUCAAAAAAAAUGAAAAUAAACAUCUCCGUGUGAAACCAGCAAAGAUACAGUCUGUAAAUGCUGGUUACUUUGAAGUUGCACAAUGAGACAGUACUGACAAGCACUCUGAGCAUAAUGAGAUGUAAUUAUUCGGGACAAGUCAGGUGAAAACUGGAGAAUCAGACUGGAAUUUGGGAGAAGAAUCAUGAAGGAGACUGUUCAGAGACUCAGCUGCCUUGAGGAUGAUGAUGCUGUUCAGACACAGCUUCAGUUUUAGUAUACCUUGAUGCGUUCAUUGAAGCAGACUGAAGAAGUUCAAAGAUUUGAAAGAAAGUUUCAAGAACUGUGUUACAAGUGGUGGAAGUUUAUCUGUUUACUUACAUACAUUUUUUGUAUUCUCAUUCCUAUUUCAUGUACCUUUUUCUAAAGCCUCUAUAUCAGUAUCUCUAUGUACUGUUUCUAAUGUACUGUAUUUAGGUUUCCAGACAAGAGAAGCACAAUUAUCUUGAUGCAGCAAAAGAAUAUUUGCUCACUUUUGUGGUUACAUUAAUGGAAUUUCUGUAAAUCCAUUUUUAUAUUUCUCCAUUUCAAUUGUUUUAAAGAAUUCUAUUUACCUUUCUCCUCAGAUACUUUUGCUUUACAAUUGGUAUCAUGUAUGAAGAAUGAAACCUAUGUUAGAAUCUUUCUUACAAAUUAUGUUCCCCAGUACAAGGCAUUGUCUUUUUACAUUCAGACUUCCUAAUGAAAUGCUUUUCAUUCUUCGUAACAGUGAGCAUUACAAAUCCUACCUACUUUGGUCAGGCAAAAAAGAAGAAUUUUAUCAUCUGGGUACUAGUUUAGAUGAGAAACUUCAGAGGAGAAAAGACUUCACAUACCAAUGGCUUCAUACACAGCAUUCGGAUUAUGAA